GUCGUCAGCUCGUGUCGUGAGAUGUUGGGUUAAGUCCCGCAACGAGCGCAACCCCUAUUGUUAGUUGCCAUCAUUCAGUUGGGCACUCUAGCGAGACUGCCGGUAAUAAACCGGGGGAAGUGGGAUGACGUCAAAUCAUCAUGCCCCUUAUGACCUGGGCUACACACGUGCUACAAUGGUUGGUACAACGAGUUGCGAGUCGGUGACGGCGAGCUAAUCUCUUAAAGCCAAUCUCAGUUCGGAUUGUAGGCUGCAACUCGCCUACAUGAAGUCGGAAUCGCUAGUAAUCGCGGAUCAGCACGCCGCGGUGAAUACGUUCCCGGGCCUU
rnacentral:rRNA from 1 species